GAUGAGGGAACUGAAGCCUGGAGAGGUGAAGACAAUUGCCCACGGUUGCGCAGGUUGUCCCACAAGAUCUCUGCUGCCUCAUCAUGGCUUGGAAUUGACCCAGCUCUUGGUGUCUCUGUCCAUGGAACACAAACUGAAGCAGAUCAGAAAAAUACAGAAUUUCAGAACUGGAUAGGACCUCAGAGUGUGGCUAGUUCAAACCCAUACCUGAAAUAAAAGAAUCUGCUCUUUGAUAUAAUCCAGAAGUACUUAAAGACUUCCAAUGAGGAGUCAUAUUUUACUUAUGGAUAUAUAAAUUUCUGGGCUGGAAGCCCCCAGAUGUCUAGUCCAGUUUGUAUUUGACCAAAAAUCUCUGCGACACCGCAACAAAGAACCACCUGGUAGCUGACUACCUAGAUUCUGAUUUCCCCAACAAAGACCUUCCCGAAAAUAGAAAGUAAACGGAUUUGGAGGCUUCAUAAGUAAAUGAAUAUUCAUAGGAAGAUGUAUACAGAAAAGAAAAUCCCUGGGCCGGAUCAGACUCAUGGCUGCCUUGCUGUUCUUCCCAAGUUGGUUCUGGAAUUCAGAGGGAAAUAAGAAUAUUUCCCUCUCCCAGAAUUGACAUCACUGCAAAGGACUGUGGGAAGACUAUAGAUAUGGCUAACGUGAAGAAACAAUUUGAAAAUGUGUUCCUGUGGGAAAGAAUUCUGUCCUUCGACGGGAUAAUAGUCAGCACCCAUCCAACCUGUUUGCUCCCAGAAUGUUCCAGCCACAACUAGGUCACCGUGACUCACUAAACAAAUCUUCAUCAAUCUCCUAACUUUGUACUUUCAUCUCCCAUCAUUGUUCUGCUCCAUUUUCGUCUUUCAAUGCUGAGAAGUUUCUUUUCCUUCUUAACCCAGUUGUAAGUCUCUAAACUGGCCUGUCACAGUACACUUGGUGGGAAUACAUGGUUGUGAGACUUGAUUGCCUGUCCAUGGUCCCAUUCUCCCCUUGUAUAUACAAAUAUACAAAUCAGGAAAGUGUAGAGUAUUUCAUCAAUCCCUUGGUUUCAAGGGGAUGGACAAUACUUUACACCUACCCAACACCAUUUAUUAAAGACCUUCUGGGAUCCAAUUAAUUAUAUUUUUAUCAAUGGAAAAACUAAGACAAACAGAUGAACUACCUGGUCAAAAUCAGGCCAUGUCAGGAUAGCACAAGAUCCCAGGCAUCCUGACUUUUAAGACCAUACCUUAAUGGCUAUAGUGUACCACACCAGAUAGCAGGAGACUAAACUAUUGGAGAGUUCUUUCAGUGCUCACUAACGAGGAGUAUUGAAGUCCAAAGAACAGAUUUCCAUCUUGUUAGAAGUGACAAACUUAAACAGAAAUCAUUUCCCUAAACACACACUCCAAUUCCUAGAGGGUGUUUUCUGCCCUGGGAGUUAUUAGCUCUUCCUAUGUUCCAUUACCAGUCCACAACUGAAGCAGAAGCCCUUAGCUGCACAGAAGAAAAUCAAAACUGGAAACUCUUUGAAGAACUUCUCCUGGACUCUGUUUCCCUAGAGGAUCAAACAGCAUGGAAUUGGAUAUAAUGGGUGUUAGUUUUAGAUCAAAUAACACAGCGUGCUAUUAUAUCUCUGAUUCCAACAUCACUAGAAUCAUCCAAAUGAAAUCUGCACAGGAAUAAAAGGAAAAGAACUAAUGAAAGAGGUUUUGAAGGGCUGGCCUUGAUGGAGGGGAUCAAUGUUUAUAAAUGUCCUUGAUUACAAUAAGAGAACAGGACCUUAGAUUUCUAAGGCUAGUUUCCUGCAAUAAUCAUUUGUUAAGCACCUCCUAUAUGCAGGGUGUUGUGCUAGGAGCUAAGGAUUCACAGAUGAAAAAUCAAGGACUGCUGUGGAGGAGUUUACAAUCCAAUGGGGGAAGGGGAAGUGAUACAAAACGGACACACAAAAAAAC